rnacentral:rRNA from 1 species
GGAAUUUUCCACAAUGGGCGAAAGCCUGAUGGAGCAACGCCGCGUGCAGGAUGAAGGCCCUUGGGUUGUAAACUGCUUUUAUAAGUGACGAUUAUGACGGUACCUUAUGAAUAAGGACCGGCUAACUCCGUGCCAGCAGCCGCGGUCAUACGGAGGGUCCAAGCGUUAUCCGGAAUUACUGGGCGUAAAGAGUUGCGUAGGUGGCAUUGUAAGUAGAUAGUGAAAGCGUGUGGCUCAACCUCAUAUCCAUUAUCUAAACUGCAAAGCUAGAGGGCGAGAGAGGUUACUAGAAUUCCUUGUGUAGGAGUGAAAUCCGUAGAUAUAAGGAGGAAUACCGAUGGCGUAGGCAGGUAACUGGCUCGUCCCUGACACUAAGGCACGAAAGCGUGGGUAGCAAAC